UGCGCCAGUGGCCGCGCACGGUUCCUUUAAAGCGUUAGCGGCAACGGCGUAAGGAGAGAAUAAUCACUGCUGCUGGAUAAGCAGCCGCACGGCGAAGGGAUAAAAACACAUCUGAGGUGUUUGGGUGACAUUUAAAAUUUGCAAGAUAAGAGCCUCAAUUAUUUAUUCGCUGAAUCCCCAGGUAGAAUGGCCUGCGCUGGUACCGCCGCUGCAUAUGUAUGUGCACCUACAUAAAGAGAUUUUUCUUUUUGUUCUGUAAACUGAUCCAGUCAUUGAUGUUGACAGUAUGUUAUAGUUAUGUGAAAACAGUGUAAUUGUGUGAUGGCUCAUCAGUGCUACGACUGCCAAUUGUGGUGGCAGUGGGUGUUCUCACAAUUCAAGGCUCAUGAAAGUAACAGCACAGAUCCACUGAGAUGAUCAUUACACAGUAGGCACAGCCAAAGAUGUCAAUAAAGAAAAAUGAUUGCAGCAGAGUGGGCUGGUGCAGGAAGAGAGAGGCUUUCUGCUUUGCGUUUUCAGCAAUUAAAAACCCUACGACAUCUUCUGCAAAACAUCAUGUCUUUCCUUCAGCCUGGAUGCCGCAACAUAUAACAGUUACAUCUCAAACAUCAGGCACGACAGCAAAGCCAGCCAAGGGCUUUGUAGUGAAUUCUGAAGGCAUGUGGUGCAGCAGUGAAAAACUGGGCAGUUGGGUCAGGCAGGGUCAGGCAUUGAGCUUCAGCAGUGUGAUGUUACGGUGCUUCUACUCAGAGGAUUCUAACCGCUAUGCUAUAUGUAUCUAACUGUAUAGAUUACGGUUAUCUAUAACUGAUUAUCUAUGUUAUUUUCCAUACAAAGUUGUCCAUCAGAACUACCUUUACUAGAUAAAUGCACAUUUAGAUAUGUAUAUCAAAAUGCAUUACAUAUAUUUCUAACUAGCAUAUACUGCACAGUGUAUUGUAUAUUCAGUCUAGUCAAAAGGCCAAAAGUAUUCCAUGGACUCUGGAUUAUAUUCCUGCCAGAUGAUCUGAAAGUUAUCACCUGCUGACUAACUCCACAUGUUAUCCUCCUGCUCUGCCAUAUGGCCCUGGAUGAUGAGACCCAACGCACCCUCCUCAGAUGACACCACGCUGAAGGGAUGGUUGAUAUAGUGGAGGGCAGAGCUGCCAUUCAGAAAGACCUCAACAAACUGUAGGAACCUCAUGAAGUUCAACAAAGACAAAUGUGACGUCCUACAUCCAGGCCGGAAGUACCCCAUGCAAGAGGACAGACUGGAGGCUGAGUAGGUGACCCUACAGCCAGCGUUUUGGGGCCAUAGCAUGAGAGAUACUGACAAACUGGAGGGCUUCCAGAAAAGGCUACUAAGACAGGGGGCUGGAGGAUAUGAUGUACAAGAAGAAGCCGGCACAAUUGGGUCUGAUUAGCCUGGAAAAGAGCAGACUAAGAAGGAAUACAACUGCAGUCUUCCACCACCUUAAAGGAGGAUUAUGGAGAAGACAGAACCAGACUUUUCUCAGAGAUGCAUAGCAAAAGGAUAAGAGACAACAGUCAUAAGCAGCAAUGAGGAAAAUAAUGAUUGGAAAUAAGGAAAAAAAUUCAUCCCAGUGGGCUUGGUGCAUCACUGGGUCAGAGGCCCAAAGGACCUGUUCAGUCUCUGCCCCUGGAAAUUUUCAAAAUUUGACAAGGCCCUGAGCAACUGGAUCUGAUUUUGAAGCUAGCCCUGCUUUGAGCAGGAGGUUGGACUAGAGACCUGUAGAUGCCUCUUCCAAUCUACAUUUUUCUGUGAGUCUACAUUGUAAGACCCAGUUCUGUAGAAUACUAAGCACUGCAACCUUUCCAUCAGUCAAAGAUGCUUGAACUUCUGUCAGGGGUCAGAGUCCCUUACAGAGGGAGCAGUGGCCUGUCUAAGCCUCAGCGAUGAUUUCAUUUCUGGUAGGUAACCAGAUCUGAGUCUGAUCAAUUAUUUGAUUGCAUAGACAAUCCUCCAUUGCUGACUCACUCUUCCAUCCCAAAUACCUAUUGUAAGGUAGUCUUACAGUUUUAUUCACAUUGUAAUAACAGACUGAGAUAUUCAAGGUUUGAUACUCCUCUCCCUUUCCUCAAAAAUGCAAGAUUCAACAGCGAUAAAGAAGAAGAAAAGACAGAAAAAAUGUUUUUUCUUGAACAAUGAAUGGAACUGCUACAUUUCAGGCAUUUCUGCAUCUUCUUCUUUCUGCUCGGAAACACACUGCAGACAGUUUUGAUUUUGUCCACAGAAGAAAA